AAAAAUAUAAAUAUUAUAACAGAACAAUAGAUGGUAAUUACCACAAUCUGUGUGUUCCUUCUCUGAGCAAUGCCUAAUUCUCUUAAAAUUAAUAAAUUUCUGUCAAUGCUAAA